rnacentral:rRNA from 1 species
UGGGGAAUUUUGGACAAUGGGCGAAAGCCUGAUCCAGCAAUGCCGCGUGUGUGAAGAAGGCCUUCGGGUUGUAAAGCACUUUUGUCCGGAAAGAAAUCCUUGGCUCUAAUACAGUCGGGGGAUGACGGUACCGGAAGAAUAAGCACCGGCUAACUACGUGCCAGCAGCCGCGGUAAUACGUAGGGUGCAAGCGUUAAUCGGAAUUACUGGGCGUAAAGCGUGCGCAGGCGGUUUGCUAAGACCGAUGUGAAAUCCCCGGGCUCAACCUGGGAACUGCAUUGGUGACUGGCAGGCUAGAGUAUGGCAGAGGGGGGUAGAAUUCCACGUGUAGCAGUGAAAUGCGUAGAGAUGUGGAGGAAUACCGAUGGCGAAGGCAGCCCCCUGGGCCAAUACUGACGCUCAUGCACGAAAGCGUGGGGAGCAAACAGGAUUAGAUACCCUGGUAGUCCACGCCCUAAACGAUGUCAACUAGUUGUUGGGGAUUCAUUUCCUUAGUAACGUAGCUAACGCGUGAAGUUGACCGCCUGGGGAGUACGGUCGCAAGAUUAAAACUUAAAUGAAUUGACGGGGUCAUAGCUGUUUCU